rnacentral:rRNA from 1 species
CCCUUAGAUGUUCUGGGCCGCACGCGUGCUACACUGAGUGGAUCAGCGGGUCAGGUUGCGCGAAAGUGUUUCCUAAUCUUGAAAUCCGCUCGUGAUGGGGAUUGACGGUUGCAAUUUUCCGUCAUGAACGAGGAAUACCUUGUAAGCGCGGGUCAUCAUCCCGCGCUGAAUACGUCCCUGUCCUUUGUACACACCGCCCGUCGCUCCUACCGAUUGAGUGGUCCGGUGAGGCUUUGGGAUCUGAGCGGAAAGAGCGUUUCGCUGUUUCUGCUCGGAAAACUCAGUCGAACCUUAUCAUUUAGAGGAAGGAGAAGUCGUAACA